rnacentral:rRNA from 1 species
GAUGAACGCUGGCGGCGUGCCUAAUACAUGCAAGUCGAGCGAACGGACGAGAAGCUUGCUUCUCUGAUGUUAGCGGCGGACGGGUGAGUAACACGUGGAUAACCUACCUAUAAGACUGGGAUAACUUCGGGAAACCGGAGCUAAUACCGGAUGAUAUUUUGAACCGCAUGGUUCAAAAGUGAAAGACGGUCUUGCUGUCACUUAUAGAUGGAUCCGCGCUGCAUUAGCUAGUUGGUAAGGUAACGGCUUACCAAGGCAACGAUGCAUAGCCGACCUGAGAGGGUGAUCGGCCACACUGGAACUGAGACACGGGCCAGACUCCUGCGGGAGGCAGCAGUAGGGAAUCUUCCGCAAUGGGCGAAAGCCUGACGGAGCAACGCCGCGUGAGUGAUGAAGGUCUUCGGAUCGUAAAACUCUGUUAGUAGGGAAGAACAUAUGUGUAAGUAACUGUGCACAUCUUGACGGUACCUAAGCAGAAAGCCACGGCUAACUACGUG